AGCUCCAAUAGCGUAUAUUUAAGUUGCUGCGGUUAAAAAGCUCGUAGUCGGAUUUCGGGUGGCGCCUACCGGUCCGCCUUUGGUGAGUACUGGUAGGUACCACCUUUCUGCCGAGGACGGGGUACUGGGCUUAGUUGUCUGGGCCUCGGAGUCGGCGAUGUCACUUUGAGUAAAUUAGGGUGUUCAAAGCAGGCUUAUGCUCUGUAUACACUAGCAUGGGAUGACACGAUAGGACUUCGGUUUAUCUUGUCGGUCUGUAGAUCGGAGUAAUGAUUAAGAGGGACAGUCGGGGGCAUUCGUAUUUCGUAGUCAGAGGUGAAAUUCUUGGAUUUACGGAAGACGAACUUCUGCGAAAGCAUUUGCCAAGGAUGUUUUCA
rnacentral:rRNA from 1 species